rnacentral:misc_RNA from 1 species
GAAAUGCGAUACGUAGUGUGAAUUGCAGAAUUCAGUGAAUCAUCGAAACCUUGAACGCAUCUUGCGCUUGCAGGUCCUCCUGCAAGCAUGCCUGUUUGAGCGUCGCUUUAUCAUCAUCCUCGAAACACUCUUUCCGGGAUGGUACUGACUGUCAGGCUUCACGGUCUGUCGGUUGAAAUACGCGGCAGAGACCCCACAAUGAGGUCACGAUAGUGCAACUGACAUGCUUCGGCAUGAUUCUAGCACUUGACUGCUCUCGCCGGGACCUCUCUGCAAGACGUCCUUCUGGACCCUCAACCCAUCGACCUCAAAUCAGGUAGGGAGACCCGCUGAACUUAA